UACGAAGGGGGCUAGCGUUGCUCGGAAUCACUGGGCGUAAAGGGCGCGUAGGCGGCGUUUUAAGUCAGGGGUGAAAUCCCAGAGCUCAACUCUGGAACUGCCUUCGAUACUGGAAGUCUUGAGUAUGGAAGAGGUUGGUGGAACUGCGAGUGUAGAGGUGAAAUUCGUAGAUAUUCGCAAGAACACCAGUGGCGAAGGCGGCCAACUGGUCCAUUACUGACGCUGAGGUGCGAAGCGUGGGAGCAACAGGAUUAAGAAACCCGGUGAGU
rnacentral:rRNA from 1 species